UAAAGGACAGGGGUAGUAAACGGAAUACAGGGCAACGAUAGGGAACCUUAGAGGGGUAGAGUUAGGGGACCGACCCCAGGCCUGGGAUCCGGAACCUUCUCUGGGGUAGAGUUAGGGGGCCGACCCCAGGGCUGGGAUCGGGAACCUUCUCUGGGGUAGAGUUAGGGGGCCGACCCCAGGGCUGGGAUCGGAACCUUCUCUGGGGUAGAGUUAGGGGGCCGACCCCAGGGCUGGGAUCGGAACCUUCUCUGGGGUAGAGUUAGGGGGCCGGCCCCAGGGCUGGGGAUCGGGAACCUUCUCUGGGGUAGAGUUAGGGGGCCGGCCCCAGGGCUGGGGAUCGGGAACCUUCUCUGGGGUAGAGUUAGGGGGCCGGCCCCAGGGCUGGGAUCGGGAACCUUCUCUGGGGUGGAGUUAGGGGGCCGACCCCAGGGCUGGGAUCGGAACCUUCUCUGGGGAAGAGUUAGGGGGCCGGCCCCAAGGCUGGGAUCGGGAACCUUCUCUGGGGUAGAGUUAGGGGGCCGGCCCCAGGGCUGGGGAUCGGGAACCUUCUCUGGGUUUCAGGGAGAAGAAGCCACGUUCACGUCAGAGCAGGCUGGAAUCUUGGAUCCUCCACCUGUUUGUGCCGCUGGCGAGUUACUUAACAACAGACCUGGAACACUGUACAACACGUGGGCCACACAGGGGAAGGCUUUAUACACUGGAACACCGGAGGUAGAGAUUCUGCAAUUAUUGACAAUACACAAAUUGGCAUAAGUAAGCUAAGAGAUUGUACCCAUGGAAUAUUCAAAUGUUGACUGAGUUAAAAUGGACAGAGUCAAGUGAGGAGCCCAGCAGUAGAUCAUGGAGACUAGAGAACACGCUCUCCACCCGAUCCCACCUCCCACUGAAUUUAUUUUCUUUAGAGGAAAGGGAGGGGUGUUCUAACCUGUUCUAAGAGUUGGGGGACUGUACAAAAUUUCAAGGAAAUACGGUAGCUUUGCCGUAUUUCAUCAGAGAACUAUGUGGGCUCCAAGCCUGUGAGAGGAACAAGCUCAAAUACACCAGUUCUCAUCUGAACAGAACGUGCUGCAGACUCAAGGUGGAGUAGCUUGAGGAAACUGUUUUCCAUCUAGCAAAUCCUCUGUGCACUAACGGAGGCGUCCUUAGGUCCCUGAAAUACAAAGACCAAUGGGAAACCCGCCUGGGAGGGAAAAAAGCAAGUUGAGUGUGAAGAUAGUUCUUAAGUGAACUCUGAUUGUAGGGGAAAGGACUCAGUGACUGAAGACACUGUUCAGAGUACACACGUACAGACUGUAAUGGAGGCCAGCUAAUGAAGGACAGUGAAUAUGACGAGCGACAGUGAAAAAAAAUGGACACAGUAUCAGAAUGUGGGCAAGGCUGAGCUAGACGCUGAUUUUACUUCAAAGCAGUGUCUCUAGGGAAUCUAACAAACUGGACGCCGGUGUCAUCUUAGACUUAAGGCAAAAUGCAUGACUGUGCUGUCGUGGUUGGUAGGGUCAUGAUUUAAAAACAUGCCCAUCUCAACUUCAGGUCAGAGCAAGUUCAGAAUGCAAAAUUUUUGGAUUUCUCAAAUCCUUUCCUAAGAACAAGCUAAACAGCGGGGAACAUGCCCCAUGCCCCUGAAAAGCAACUGAGAUAACACUCCCAUGAGUCCCAGGACACGGGUGAGCCUUGGCCCACCUACCCAGGACCCAUCCAGGGCAAGCAUGAGUCUAGCAGCUGUGCAGAGGCAGUGGAAGGGGAGAGAACAGGAGUUCUGAUGAUACAGAAAUGGCCUCCAAACACUCAGGAAGAGAGCGUCUCACCCUGGCGGAGCUCUCAGCCAGUGAAUAUGGUGAGAAUAGCAGUGAAAAAGAGAAGGUUCUAGUCUUCAGUUUCUGAGUCAGUAGAAUAACAAGAUGUCAGCUACCCACUAAGGGACCCUGGAGAGAUCAGAAGGUUUUGGAGUGGCUUAAGCACUCAAACAACUCCAAAAUAGCGGACAAAACUUCUUCCCUGUGAAAAAUCCUUCCAUGAAGAGAAUUUGGAUUGAGAGAGUGAGUCAGAAGGUAAAGGGCCAUGAGGCUUUGAACAGUGGGAGGCAAGGGGGCAGUUGAGAGGAGACAGAACCCUGACAGCGACGUGACUAGGCUACCUACCUCUACACGCAUCUACUUUUCUCUCUUUCUAUUACCUCUACCUGUCACUCUGGGUUCCUAUCUGUCUAUCAUCUGUCCAUCACUGACCUGUCUGUCCAUCAUGUGCUAAUAAUAGAGGAAGAAACCCUCAGCAGUGAAGCUACUAAGGCUACUAUGGAGCAUCCCAGUCCCCUACAGGGGAACCACUUUGGAAAGUCACGGAACACUUGACUUUACACAUAAACAACACAGAAAAAUAGUCUAACACCGAACAAAUAUAUUACUGUAGAAAAUGAAAAAAUGAUGAAACAAUGGAUAGUGAAUGUAUAACAGAAAAUACACAGUCAAAAAGAGAUAGAAGGGGUUGGUGCUGUGGUAUAGCAGGUAAAGCCACCGCCUGCAGUGGCAGCAUCCCAUAUGGGCACCAGUUCGAGUCCUGGCUGCUCCACUUCCUAUCCAGCUCUCUGCUAUGGCCUGGGAAAGCAGUAGAAGAUGGCCCAAGUCCUUGGGCCUCUGCACCCAUGUGGGAGACCCAGAAGUUCCUGGCUCCUGGCUUUAGAUCGGCCCAGCUCUGGCCACUGUGCCCAUUUGGAGAGUGACCAGCAGAUGGAAAGAACUUUCUCUCUGUUUCUCCCUCUCUCUGUCUGUGACUCUUUCUCUCAAAUAAAAUAAAUCCUUGGGGGGGGGGGGAGGGGGGA
rnacentral:lncRNA from 1 species